rnacentral:rRNA from 1 species
GGUAAAAUCCGUAGAUAUCACCAAGAAUACCCAUUGCGAAGGCGAUCUGCUGGAACUCAACUGACGCUAAGGCGCGAAAGCGUGGGGAGCAAACAGGAUUAGAUACCCUGGUAGUCCACGCCCUAAACGAUGUACACUAGUUGUUGGGAUGCUAGUCAUCUCAGUAAUGCAGCUAACGCAUUAAGUGUACCGCCUGGGGAGUACGGUCGCAAGAUUAAAACUCAAAGGAAUAGACGGGGACCCGCACAAGCGGUGGAGCAUGUGGUUUAAUUCGAAGAUACGCGAAGAACCUUACCUGGGCUUGAUAUCCUAAGAACCUUAUAGAGAUAUGAGGGUGCUAGCUUGCUAGAACUUAGAGACAGGUGCUGCACGGCUGUCGUCAGCUCGUGUCGUGAGAUGUUGGGUUAAGUCCCGCAACGAGCGCAACCCACGUAUUUAGUUGCUAACGGUUCGGCCGAGCACUCUAAAUAGACUGCCUUCGUAAGGAGGAGGAAGGUGUGGACGACGUCAAGUCAUCAUGGCCCUUAUGCCCAGGGCGACACACGUGCUACAAUGGCAUAUACAAUGAGACGCAAUACCGCGAGGUGGAGCAAAUCUAUAAAAUAUGUCCCAGUUCGGAUUGUUCUCUGCAACUCGAGAGCAUGAAGCCGGAAUCGCUAGUAAUCGUAGAUCAGCCAUGCUACGGUGAAUACGUUCCCGGGUCUUGUACUCACCGCCCGUCACACCAUGGGAGUUGAUUUCACUCGAAGCCGGAAUACUAAACUAGUUACCGUCCACAGUGGAAUCAGCGACUGGGGUGAAGUCGUAACAAGGUAACCGUAGGAGAACCUGCGGUUGGAUCACCUCCUUUCUA